GUUCACUUCAACCCCACGAUCCUAAGCACACCUGUACCUGCCCUGGAAUCCCUCAGCCAUGUUUGUCCCACAGAGCAUCACUAUCAAACAGUUCACUGUGGACUCCUCGUAGCAGAAGUACAGUAGGGGACAGCAAGUGUCAGCUCCAUCAGGACCCCUGAUUUAAUUAUUUACUGUGGAACCAUUGUCCUGAGUCAGGAGGAUAGAUGAGGAAAGAAUGAGAGCGUGGCUGGCAUCGCUUCAUGAUUACAUUCUGGGAAAGAUCUUGCCUGUUAACCGCUAGAGAAGGAGGGACGAUGCAGACAAUGAAGACUAUAGCAGACUGAAAUACUCUCUGAGAUGAGGACUUUGCUAUUGCCAUUGUAGAACCACUGGUGGAAGUUGUUGUUAAACAGUGGGUCUUGCAUGCAAGCUCUACAGUUAUGCACAGUAUUUCCAUGACAUCCCAAGCCAUGAGGUUCAUGCUGCCAUAUCCCCCUGUUUAACAAGUGUGGAAACUGAUAAUGGACUCACAAUUGCUGAUGUAUAGGUUCCAAUGUUUUCUAUUGUGGACACUGGACACCCAGACUGAGAACCAAUGGCUCCAGUCUGAUUUAAACAUGGGUCCGUGCUCACACACUCAAUACCUACCCUCUGUGCUCACAAGUCCUGUGUGAGUAAGACUCCAAAUUAUUCUGUCUUGUUUUACUCAAUGGUAUGCUCUACUUAUUAUAGAGUAUACCAUGUAUUGAGACAAGAAUGCCAGUCAUUCUGAGAAACAAAAUGCAACCAUUAGUUGUCAUUUUAAUUAGUGACGAAUAGUUGUGUCGAUCAUCAAACAUGCUUGUAUAAUUGGAUGAGAAGAGGUGUAACACGGGCCAAUGAUGACGAGGUUUCGGGAUUAUAAGUCACGGACGAUGACUACGUCACUAGAGGUCUGAGGUCCAUAGCAGAAGAUGCCUCAUGUGACCCUCUCAUGCAGGGGUUGCAUGUCAGGCAUGUGCAUACA
ensembl:processed_transcript Rian RNA imprinted and accumulated in nucleus